GAUGAACGCUGGCGGCGUGCCUAAUACAUGCAAGUCGAGCGAACAGACGAGGAGCUUACUCCUCUGACGUUAGCGGCGGACGGGUGAGUAACACGUGGAUAACCUACCUAUAAGACUGGGAUAACUUCGGGAAACCGGAGCUAAUACCGGAUAACAUGUUGAACCGCAUGGUUCAACAGUGAAAGACGGUCUUGCUGUCACUUAUAGAUGGAUCCGCGUCGCAUUAGCUAGUUGGUAAGGUAACGGCUUACCAAGGCAACGAUGCGUAGUCGACCUGAGAGGGUGAUCGGCCACACUGGAACUGAGACACGGUCCAGACUCCUACGGGAGGCAGCAGUAGGGAAUCUUCCGCAAUGGGCGAAAGCCUGACGGAGCAACGCCGCGUGAGUGAAGAAGGUCUUCGGAUCGUAAAACUCUGUUAUUAGGGAAGAACAAAUGUGUAAGUAACUAUGCACGUCUUGACGGUACCUAAUCAGAAAGCCACGGCUAACUACGUG
rnacentral:rRNA from 1 species